rnacentral:rRNA from 1 species
GACAGAGGUGGCGAGCGUUGUUCGGAUUUACUGGGCGUAAAGCGUGGGUAGGCGGUUCGGCCAGUCAGAUGUGAAAUCCCACCGCUUAACGGUGGAACGGCGUCUGAUACUACCGGACUAGAGUGCAGGAGAGGAGAGUGGAAUUUCCGGUGUAGCGGUGAAAUGCGGAGAUAUCGGAAGGAACACCAGUGGCGAAGGCGGCUCUCUGGACUGCAACUGACGCUGAGACACGAAAGCGUGGGGAGCAAACAGG